rnacentral:snRNA from 1 species
CAGAAAGACGUUGCAUGUCCUUACU